UAGGGAAUCUUCCGCAAUGGACGCAAGUCUGACGGAGCAACGCCGCGUGAGUGAAGAAGGUUUUCGGAUCGUAAAACUCUGUUGUUAGAGAAGAACAAGUGCUAGAGUAACUGUUAGCGCCUUGACGGUAUCUAACCAGAAAGCCACGGCUAACUACGUGCCAGCAGCCGCGGUAAUACGUAGGUGGCAAGCGUUGUCCGGAUUUAUUGGGCGUAAAGCGAGCGCAGGCGGUUCCUUAAGUCUGAUGUGAAAGCCCCCGGCUCAACCGGGGAGGGUCAUUGGAAACUGGGGAACUUGAGUGCAGAAGAGGAGAGUGGAAUUCCAUGUGUAGCGGUGAAAUGCGUAGAUAUAUGGAGGAACACCAGUGGCGAAGGCGACUCUCUGGUCUGUAACUGACGCUGAGGCUCGAAAGCGUGGGUAGCAAACAGGAUUAGAUACCCUGGUAGUCCACGCCGUAAACGAUGAGUGCUAAGUGUUGGAGGGUUUCCGCCCUUCAGUGCUGCAGUUAACGCAUUAAGCACUCCGCCUGGGGAGUANCGACCGCAAGGUUGAAACUC
rnacentral:rRNA from 1 species